rnacentral:misc_RNA from 1 species
UGAUCUGCUGGGGGAGCCGCACGGCGGCCGUUGGGAUGUCGUGCUGGCCGGCGAUAUUUUCUACGAACGCGACACCGCGCAGCGCGCGUUCGAUUUCCUUUUCGGCCACGUUGCGCGCGGCGCAACAGUGCUGAUCGGCGACCCCGGCCGCAGCUACCUGCCCCGCGACAAAUUGCGCCGCAUCGCGGACUACAGCGUCCCGGUGACCCGCGAUCUGGAGGACGCCGAAAUCAAGCAAACUGCGGUAUGGAGCCUGCUGCAGCCGGCCUGAAAUCCGGUGUCAUCCCCUUCAUAUCCUUUGGGAAAUCCGAGGUCCG